rnacentral:rRNA from 1 species
UACAGAGGGUGCAAGCGUUAAUCGGAAUUACUGGGCGUAAAGCGUGCGUAGACGGUUAUGUAAGUCGGGUGUGAAAGCCCCGGGCUCAACCUGGGAAUGCCAUUCGAGACUGCAUAGCUAGGGUGCGGAAGAGGGAAGCGGAAUUUCAGGUGUAGCGGUGAAAUGCGUAGAUAUCUGUAGGAACACCAGUGGCGAAAGCGGCUUCCUGGUCCAGCACCGACGUUCAGGCACGAAAGCGUGGGGAGCAAACAGG